AUUGAACGCUGGCGGCAUGCUUUACACAUGCAAGUCGAACGGUAACAGGUUAAGCUGACGAGUGGCGAACGGGUGAGUAAUGCAUCGGAACGUGCCCGGUCGUGGGGGAUAACGCAGCGAAAGCUGCGCUAAUACCGCAUACGAUCUAAGGAUGAAAACGGGGGACCGUAAGGCCUCGCGCGAUCGGAGCGGCCGAUGUCAGAUUAGGUAGUUGGUGGGGUAAAGGCUCACCAAGCCAACGAUCUGUAGCUGGUCUGAGAGGACGACCAGCCACACUGGGACUGAGACACGGCCCAGACUCCUACGGGAGGCAGCAGUGGGGAAUUUUGGACAAUGGGCGAAAGCCUGAUCCAGCAAUGCCGCGUGCAGGAAGAAGGCCUUCGGGUUGUAAACUGCUUUUGUACGGAGCGAAAAGGUCUCCUCUAAUACAGGGGGCUCAUGACGGUACCGUAGAAUAAGCACCGGCUAACUACGUGCCAGCCGCCGCGGUAA
rnacentral:rRNA from 1 species